CAGUCGCCGCGGGAAUACAGAGGGUGCAAGCGUUAAUCGGAAUUACUGGGCGUAAAGCGCGCGUAGGUGGUUUGUUAAGUUGGAUGUGAAAUCCCCGGGCUCAACCUGGGAACUGCAUUCAAAACUGACUGACUAGAGAAUGGUAGAGGGUGGUGGAAUUUCCUGUGUAGCGGUGAAAUGCGUAGAUAUAGGAAGGAACACCAGUGGCGAAGGCGACCACCUGGACUAAUACUGACACUGAGGUGCGAAAGCGUGGGGAGCAAACAGGAUUAGAUACCCGUGUAGUCCCUGUCUCUUAUAC
rnacentral:rRNA from 1 species